rnacentral:rRNA from 1 species
AACGAACGUUAGCGGUGUGGAUUAGGCAUGCAAGUCGAGCGUGAAAGGCGCAAGCCGAGUAAAGCGGCGAAAGGGUGAGUAACACGUAACCAACCUGUCCCUAAGACCGGGAUAACCUGCGGAAACGCGGGCUAAUACCGGAUGGCCCUGAUGGGAGGCAUCUCUUGUCGGGUAAAUGGCGUAAGCCGCUGAGGGGAGGGG